rnacentral:rRNA from 1 species
UACGUAGGGAGCGAGCGUUGUCCGGAAUCAUUGGGCGUAAAGAGCAUGUAGGUGGAUCAAUUAGUCUGCUGUGAAAGUCAAAGGCUCAACCUUUGAAAGCCGGUGGAUACUGUUGGUCUAGAGUACGGAAGAGGCGAGUGGAAUUCCUGGUGUAGCGGUGGAAUGCGCAGAUAUCAGGAGGAACACCAAUAGCGAAGGCAGCUCGCUGGGACGUUACUGACACUGAGGAGCGAAAGCAUGGGGAGCGAACAGG